rnacentral:rRNA from 1 species
UGGCCGUAAACGAUGUGGACUUGGUGUUGGAAUGGCUCCGAGCUGCUCCAGUGCCGAAGGGAAGCUGUUAAGUCCACCGCCUGGGAAGUACGGUCGCAAGACUGAAACUUGAAGGAAUUGGCGGGGGAGCACCACAACGCGUGGAGCCUGCGGUUUAAUUGGACUCAACGCCGGGAAGCUCACCGGAUAAGACAGCGGAAUGAUUGCCGGGCUGAAGACCCUGCAUGACCAGCUGAGAGGAGGUGCAUGGCGUAGUCGUGU